UACAGAGGUCCCAAGCGUUGUUCGGAUCCAUUGGGCGUAAAGGGUGCGUAGGCGGGUCUUUAAGUCAGGGGUGAAAUCCUGGAGCUCAACUCCAGAACUGCCUUUGAUACUGAGGAUCUUGAGUUCGGGAGAGGUGAGUGGAACUGCGAGUGUAGAGGUGAAAUUCGUAGAUAUUGGGAAGAACACCGGUGGCGAAGGCGGCGACCUGGUCCGAUACUGACGCUGAGGCGCGAAAGCGUGGGGAGCAAACAGG
rnacentral:rRNA from 1 species